CAAAAGUUUUAGUGUAGUUUUA
rnacentral:miRNA from 18 species